rnacentral:rRNA from 1 species
GUCGCACGGGCAGGGCAACCUGUCAGUGGCGGACGGGUGAGUAACGCGUAGGAAUCUAUCCUUGAGUGGGGGACAACCGUGGGAAACUACGGCUAAUACCGCAUGAUCCCUGAGGGGCAAAGGCGAAAGUCGCCUGAGGAGGAGCCUGCGUCUGAUUAGGUAGUUGGUGGGGUAAAGGCCUACCAAGCCUGCGAUCAGUAGCUGGUCUGAGAGGAUGAUCAGCCACACUGGGACUGAGACACGGCCCACACUCCUACGGGAGGCAGCAGUGGGGAAUAUUGGACAAUGGGCGAAAGCCUGAUCCAUCAAUGCCGCGUGGAUGAAGAAGGUCUUCGGAUUGUAAAGUCCUUUUGGCGGGGACGAUGAUGACGGUACCCGCAGAAUAAGCUCCGGCUAACUUCAUGCCAGCAGCCGCGGUAAUACGAAGGGGGCUAGCGUUGCUCGGAAUGACUGGGCGUAAAGGGCGCGUAGGCGGACGGCACAGUCAGGCGUGAAAUUCCUGGGCUCAACCUGGGGACUGCGUCUGAGACGUGUUGUCUUGAGUAUGGAAGAGGGUUGUGGAAUUUCCAGUGUAGAGGUGAAAUUCGUAGAUAUUGGAAAGAACACCGGUGGCGAAGGCGGCAACCUGGUCCAUUACUGACGCUG